rnacentral:lncRNA from 10 species
UCUGGGGUAUGAAAAAGAGGAGUCAAAGAGGAACCCCAAAAUUUCAGACUGUGCAAGUAGAAAAAUGAAGUUGUUGUCAGCACAGAUGGGGAAAAUUCUGAAAGGGGCAUAUUUGAGGAGGGGGCACUAUAGGCAUUCAAUUUAGGAAAUGUUGAAUCUCAGAUGUCAGACAUUCAAGUGAGGUUGUUGUGUUGGCAGAUGGAUAUGCAAGUUGGAAAUGUAGGAGAAAUGUCUGGGCUGGGAAAAUAGAUUUAGGAGUUAAUGCCAUAUUAAUGAUAUUUAAAGCAUAGAGCAUGCAUGAGUCGCCAAGGGAAAGAUGGCUAUAGACUGCACAGUUCUAACACCACAUCUAGAAAGUAAGUAAAUCUGAGAAUCUCAAAUUUUAGUGUGCGUAGGAAUCACCUGGACAACUUUCUAAGAUUCAGGUGGUCUGGAGUUGAGAAUGAGAUUCUGUGUUUAUAAAAAAGUUGAGGCAGACACUGAUGGUCUUCAGAUCACACUUUUAGUAGCAAGAAUGUAGACC